rnacentral:lncRNA from 1 species
AGUGAACAGGGCAAGCGCACAGUAGGUGCUCAGAACAUGUGUACACAUCGGAGGCCACUGGGAUAGUUGUGCCUUUGCCUGGGAGUGCAUCCCGAUGAUCAUAGAACCUCACCCCAAAACGGAGCCGGGAGCCACACAGGGUCAUCACGCUUCUGCAGGUGCAUAUAAGAACUGUUGUUGGAGUCCAGAGAGGAAAUGAUGAGACUGUGGCCUGAGGCAGAGCUGGUGGCUGGUGAAGAUGAAGACCCACAUUCGGGAGAGGUUUCCUGGGAGGAGUUUGCUGAGCUGGGGCACAGAACUGAUGGCAGGCCCAUUCAUGAGCGUGGUCCUCUCUAAGCUGGAGAACAUGCUGGAGAACUCACUGCACGUUAACUUGUUGCUUAUCGGGAUCAUCACACAGCUGGCCAGCUAUCCCCAGCCCCUCCUGCGCUCUUUUCUGCUCAACACCAACAUGGUCUUCCAGCCCAGCAUGCGCUCCCUCUACCAGGUCCUUGCAUCUGUGAAAAACAAGAUUGAGCAUUUCGCCUCUAUGGAGAGAGACUUCCCAGGCCUCCUCAUCCAAGCCCAGCAGUACCUGCUCUUCCGGGUAGACAUGUCCGACGUGACCCCUGAGGCGCUAACCAAAGAUCCCAUUCAGGAGGCUUCCAAGACUGGAAGUAGCAGGAACCUUUUGGAUGGUCCCCCACGAGUGCUUCAGCCCUUCCUGACCAGCAGAGCCAGGGUGGCCGGGCCACCUCCAAACCUGCCCCUGCCGGUGAGGAACACCAUGCUGGCUGUCGCUCUCUUCCCCGAGUUCCUGAAGGAGCUGGCUGCCCUGGCGCAGGAACACUCCAUUCUGUGCUACAAGAUCCUGGGGGACUUUGAGGACUCCUGUUGCUAG